rnacentral:sRNA from 1 species
ACUUCCGGGGGCAGAGGUGUUCGAAGCCGGGUGGUGCGUGGGCUACCCCAACCUGUGUGGCUGGGCCGCGGUCUCCCCUCAAGGGCCUGGGGCCGUGCCUCGGGUGUACGCGUAGGGGUCUGUGUGCUGGGGGUGGCUCACCGGGCAGCGUGGGUGAGCGGCGCAGCGGCGGCAGCGGAGAGCGAGAGAGGGGAGCAGUAUCUGGAGUCCAUCUUUCACCAUCUUCUCCUGAGAUUGUACUGGACCGUGAUCACUCUUCUUCCAUUGGCUGCCUCUCUUCUGAUGCCAUUAUUUCAUCACCAGAGAAUACACAUGCAGAGAAUAGCAUUGUGAGUCAAACUAUUCCAAAAGCACAGAUUCAGCAAUCAACACACACUCAUCUGGAUAUCUCACUUUUUCCAUUGGGUUUAACUGAUGAAAAAAGUAAUGGAACAAUUGCCCUUGUGGAUGAUUCUGAGGAUCCUGGAGCCAAUGUAUCUAACAUAGAGCUUCAGCAAAAAAUUUCAAGUCUGGAGAUUAAACUCAAAGUAUCUGAAGAAGAAAAACAGAGGAUUAAACAGGAUGUGGAAUCAUUGAUGGAAAAGCAUAAUGUCUUAGAAAAAGGCUUUCUAAAAGAAAAAGAGCAAGAGGCCAUUUCUUUUCAAGAUAGAUACAAAGAACUUCAG